UGGGGAAUGUAGCUCAGUGGUAGAGUGCUUGCUUAGUAUGUGCGUGGUCCUGAGUUCAAUCCUCAGUGCCACAA
rnacentral:tRNA from 1 species